CCUACGGGAGGCAGCAGUGGGGAAUUUUGCGCAAUGCUCGGAAGAGUGACGCAGCGACGCCGCGUGAAUGACGAAGGCCUUCGGGUCGUAAAGUUCUUUCGACAGGGAAGAAAAUGCAUAUAAGUAACUGUGUAUGUAUUGACGGUACCUGUAUAAGCAGCCCCGGCUAACUCCGUGCUAGCAGCUGCGGUAAAACGGCGGGGGCGUGCGUUGUUCGGAGUGACUGGGAGUAAAGGGCACGUAGGCGGUGUUGUAAGUCAGUAGUCAAAGAUUGGGGCUCAACUUUAGUAAGGCUAGUAAUACUAUAUUACUAGAGUAUCAGAGAGGAAUGCAGAAUUCCUGGUGUAGCGGUGAAAUGCGUAGAUAUCA
rnacentral:rRNA from 1 species